UGAGAUCUGAGUCCAGUUCCUCUUCGGUGCUAUGGGAUGAGGAACAAGGCCAAUCAGGUAGAUAUGCAGUCUCUUUUAGAAAAAAGUUUCAAUCAAGCACCAAGCAUCAUCAAUGUUUCUUUGGUUUGUUCCUCUGAGAGAAGCCUUAAACGUUAUAUGUAUAAUGCAACAACAGAGGAUUUUACAGAGGGAAAACUAGAACCACUCACCAUCCAAAGAACCCUUGAGGAAUGAGCAUGCCAUAACCAUGCAAACUGACCAACUCAACGCACUCAACUACACUAUAAUGGGUGCAAUAAUGUAAAAGAUCAUUACCUGUCAGACUCAUCAUCAUAUUCAGAAGAUUCAUCAUACUUUUCCAAUCGAAAGGUAACCUUAUGGUUCCUGCCUAAAGAGAGUAAAAGGAGUAAAAAUGCCUCACUUACUUGCAGUCCAUUCACAAUUUUAUCAAUGUUGGAAAGGCAACCAUGGAGAACAGAAGUGUGUUCCCUGUAGCACUUACCCACAGUAUCCUCUGGGUCAGCCUGAUCACCAUAGAAUCUAUAAAACGCCUCAAUUCUAGUUUUCUCCAGCUCCCAGAUCCGAUUUUUAUUAUCAUCAGACUUCUCCAGAUCUUCCUCUGUGUACUCUUGAUUUUCUCCUUCGCCUGAAUUUAUCUUAAAUGAAUCUUCAACAGUCAAGCCCCAGUCAUAUUCAUCUAAGCGCAGGUUGUCUUCAUCCAUCAGCAGUGAUGAGGACCACAAAACCUCAUUUAUUAUGUUUUUGGUAUCCCCUACUUUGUCUGAAGACUCUGAAGAUGAUUUGUCAUGGUCUUUUAUGGCUGUGUCUGUUUUGUCUGACUCUGUGCUUUGGUGUAAUUCUGUAGAUUCUGUAUUGGAUUCUUCAUAAUAUGAAAUAGAGCUUGUGUUUGUGAAGCUUCUUUCCUUGACAUCACAAAAUGAUAAAUGUCCCUCAUAUUGUUGCUCAGGACUGUUAACAUCCCCAUUCUCUGUAUCUGGACAUGUAAGAUCAAUAUCAUUAUCCACCCUCACCAUGUCCUGUGUUGAGUUAUGUUGUGUAAUAUGAGACUUUUCCUCUUCCUGCUUUAAUGAUGGGAGAAAAUGAGUUUCUUCUUCGCUUGUGCUGUGAUCAUCACUACUACUGUCACUGAUAUAGUCUGCUUGAUCAUUAAGAUCACUUAGCGCUCCAGCAUCCUCCUUAUUCUUGGCAUAUUCCUCUGUGUUUCUAUCAUUUGGUAAAUAUUCUUGGACAUCCUCUUCAUCAAAGCUUCCUCUCUGGAAAGACAGAUCUAAGUCUGCUGAGAUCAUCUCAACCUCUAGGUCCUUAAUCCCAGAAUUAUGAUCUAGGGCACAACUGUCUUUGUUUUGCAAGUUUACAUUUUCUGCAUUGGACAAAUCCUCCAUCUUGUCUGUGAAGUGAUCGUCACUAGAACUGAUGUCUAUGAGGGUGAACGGCUGGGCUGUAGCAUUUUCAGCAGGCUCUUCGGUUUCACUGUGUGAAAAAUCCGAGGGAUAAUCUGCAAGGCUUUCCUCGAUCUGUUCUUGGUCUUCCUCUGUAAACUCUUUCAUGUCAUCACUGUCAUAGUAUUUUUCAGCAAUAUUUUGACUCAUUGCAACAAAAAGUUCAUCCUUGUUACCAGUAAAUUCACACUGAGAUUGUUCUGUUGUGCUGUAGUUCUCAAGUAAUUCUUCAUCUGAUUCGGAUGACGUCUCUUCUGGUGUUUCACUCUCACUGGACAUUGAAGGUGAUUUCUGUGGCUUAUAUUCUACGUUAAACGUUUCCAUGUGUUCUUCCUCUGGGAGCUCCUUUUCAUCUCCUGAUAUGUUUAAGUCAGUAACUAGUCCAUGCGUAGAAACACCUGCUGCUAAGUCACUUUGCAUGUUUCCUUCCUCUGCAGUACACUCACCAGCUGUAUAGUUUAGUUGUUGUGCUUCUGUCAUCAUCGUGUUUACAACCUGAUCAUUAUCUAUUUCAUGAGAAAGGCAAAAUAGAGACUCUGUGUCGAUAGGGAAUGAAUUACUUGACUCACUCUCACUUGUAUCAGAGCUUGCUUCACCUUCUUCCUUUUCAUAUACGUUAAUGAAGGUCUCAACUGAGCCUUUCUCUGAUGUUGUCCAGAGAUUACUUGCACUGUUCACAUCAUCCAUGUCCUCAUCCAUAACUAGCUCUGUUUUAGAUGUGUUAGUGCCCUCAUCUGAUUGUAGAUGCUCAAAAUCUACAUGUAUGUCAACAUCUAAAGGAGACACAAAAUUGCGCAAAAUAUAUACAGUGAGUAUUACAGUUAGAUUACAUAAACACUCAGGAAAAAAAAGCGUUCUGAACAGUUCAUUAAUUGGAUUUCCUUCUGAUCGAGACGCACUGUAGUCGAAUCCUUUAUAGAACCUUUAAGGGCUCGCCUGAAAAACCCUUUAGGCUUUUAGAUUGAACCUUUUUUCUAAGAAUGAAGUCAGAAUAAGUUCGCAAGUGUCACAAAUUGUACAAAACAGACAAUUUAAUUAUUCUUACCUGAAAAAGCAUCCUUAAGCAAAUCCGCAAUGUUUUGUUCCAUCUUCUUUGGCGAAAAUUGUAGCUUGUAGUUUCAUUUGACAAAUUUCAUGUGAUUCUUUUAACUUUGAACAAAAAUUUGUGCUCAGUUGUGCGCUUACUUCUUUGUCUCACAGUCACUUCCUGUCAAAAUCAGGUCAUGAAAAUGUUUUCAUCCUCUGUACAGUUUCCAUACACAUAAAUCAACUUAACCAAAAACAUUACAGUUAAAAAAUUAAUAAUUAAUUGCAAUGAUUAAUAAUAUUGCACAAAUAUUGAUACAUGCUUACCCCAAAUAAAAACCCAUC
ensembl:lncRNA